AGUGAACGCUGGCGGUAGGCCUAACACAUGCAAGUCGAACGGCAGCACAGUAAGAGCUUGCUCUUACGGGUGGCGAGUGGCGGACGGGUGAGGUAUACAUCGGAAUCUACUUUUUCGUGGGGGAUAACGUAGGGAAACUUACGCUAAUACCGCAUACGACCUACGGGUGAAAGCAGGGGAUCUUCGGACCUUGCGCGAUUGAAUGAGCCGAUGUCGGAUUAGCUAGUUGGCGGGGUAAAGGCCCACCAAGGCGACGAUCCGUAGCUGGUCUGAGAGGAUGAUCAGCCACACUGGAACUGAGCCACGGUCCAGACUCCUACGGGAGGCAGCAGUGGGGAAUAUUAGACAAUGGGCGCAAGCCUGAUCCAGCCAUACCGCGUGGGUGAAGAAGGCCUUCGGGUUGUAAAGCCCUUUUGUUGGGAAAGAAAAGCAGCAGGUUAAUACCCCGCUGUUCUGACGGUACCCAAAGAAUAAGCACCGGCUAACUUCGUG
rnacentral:rRNA from 1 species